UUGGUACUCCCUCCGUCCGGAAAUACUUGUCCUAGAAAUGGAUAAAAUGGAUGUAUCUAUAACUAAAAUAAGUCUACAUACAACCAUUUCGAGGACAAGUAUUUCCGGACGGAGGGAGUAUGAU
rnacentral:pre_miRNA from 1 species